GAGCUCUCAAUCUGUCAAUCCUUCCAGUGUCCGGGCCUGGUGAGAUUUCCCGUGUUGAGUCAAAUUAAGCCGCAGGCUCCACUCCUGGUGGUGCCCUUCCGUCAAUUCCUUUAAGUUUCAGCUUUGCAACCAUACUUCCCCCGGAACCCAAAGGCUUUGGUUUCCCGGAAGCUUCCCGCAGAGCCUAAAAAACAAACAGCUGCGGAUCGCUAGCUGGCAUCGUUUAUGGUUAGAACUAGGGCGGUAUCUGAUCGCCUUCGAACCUCUAACUUUCGUUCUUGAUUAAUGAAAACAUUCUUGGCAAAUGCUUUCGCAGUAGUUUGUCUUCAAACGGUCCAAGAAUUUCACCUCUGUCGUUUGAAUACAAAUGCCCCCGACUGUCCCUAUUUAUCAUUAUGUCGAGUCCCGAAAACCAACAAAAUAGGAUCGACAUCCUAUUCUAUUAUUCCAUGCACGAAUAUUCAGGCAUUUUAGCCUGCUUUGAGCACUCUAAUUUUUUCAAAGUAAACCUGCUGGCAUCCAGAGACACUCGAUCAAGAGCACCCCUAAACCUCCAGCAAAAGCACAGCCUACAAAGCAGUAAAACUACAAAGUUAACCGCUUCAAGGCUGUUGAGAUCCAACUACGAGCUUUUUAACCACAACAACUUUAAUAUACGCUAUUGGAGCUGGAAU
rnacentral:rRNA from 1 species